rnacentral:rRNA from 1 species
AUUGAACGCUGGCGGCAGGCCUAACACAUGCAAGUCGAGCGGUAGAGAGGUGCUUGCACCUCUUGAGAGCGGCGGACGGGUGAGUAAUGCCUAGGAAUCUGCCUAGUGGUGGGGGAUAACGUUCGGAAACGGACGCUAAUACCGCAUACGCCCUACGGGAGAAAGCGGGGGAUCUUCGGACCUCGCGCCAUUAGAUGAGCCUAGGUCGGAUUAGCUAGUUGGUGAGGUAAUGGCUCACCAAGGCGACGAUCCGUAACUGGUCUGAGAGGAUGAUCAGUCACACUGGAACUGAGACACGGUCCAGACUCCUACGGGAGGCAGCAGUGGGGAAUAUUGGACAAUGGGCGAAAGCCUGAUCCAGCCAUGCCGCGUGUGUGAAGAAGGUCUUCGGAUUGUAAAGCACUUUAAGUUGGGAGGAAGGGCAGUAAGUUAAUACCUUGCUGUUUUGACGUUACCGACAGAAUAAGCACCGGCUAACUUCGUGCCAGCCGCCGCAGUAACAC